CACUGCUGUGUGUGCUGUUAGUGUGCUGUUAGUGUGAUGUGUGUGUGAGGGUGCUGUUAGUGUGAUGUGAGGGUGUUUGUGUGUGUGUGACUGUGCUGUUUGUGUGUGUGUAUGUUUGUCCUGUGAGGGUGCUGUUUGUGUGAGUGUCGUGUAUUUGUGAGGGUGCUGUUUGUGUGUGUUUGUGAGGGUGCUGUUAGUGUGCUGUGUGUGAGGGUGUUGUGUUUUUUUUAAAGGUGCUGUGUGUGUUUGUGAGGGUGCGGUUAGUGUACUGUGUGUGUGUGAGCUGUAUGUGUGUAGGUGCUGUAUGUGUGUGUGGUGUAUGUUUGGAGGGAUUUGGCAGAUUAGUAAAUCCUUGCUGCCAUGUGCCAUCCCUGGUGGUCCAGUGGAGAGUGAACUCUAGCCUGUGGGGCUAGAGUUAACUCUCGCGAGAUCUGAGCAUUGCCGCAGCAACACUCAGAUAUCGUGAGAGGAACCUGGCAGAGCUUCUGUCUAGAGCUCCCUGGGUCCUCUCC